CUGAGUAGCUGGGACUACAGGCACACACCACCACAUCGAAGUGUUCAGACAGUGUCAUCCGGACUCUGCCUCUGCAUCUUUCAGUUCUGCUUCAACAUCGGCUCCUGCUUCAGUAGGCUGUGAAGGUGCUGCACUGAGACAACAUUACCGACUUUAUGAUAUGUGGUAGUUAAGAGUAUACAGAGGGGAAGAAAUCACAUCCAGUAAGUUGUUUGCUUAACAUACUUAUUAUAGUUCUCACUUAUAAGCUAAUUUAAGCAAUUUUUUAGGUAUACAUAUUCUAAGCUAAAUCUAACAUAGCUUUAUUUUCUGAUCUCAAAGAAGAUCUUAAUUCCACUGAAAUUAUUGUUAUCAAUAUCAUGUUUCAUAUGCUUGUUAAUAUUUAGAUAUUGUGAUACCUACAUACAUACAUACAUAUUUGAUAAAAUAUAGCAAUAGAUAUACCUAGAAAUACAUCUACCUUUUUUAAUGAGGCUUUAGCUCAUGGCAACUUGAGCACAAAAAAAGGAUGACUGUAGUAUCCAUAGUUGCAAUAUACAGGAGUAAUCCUACUUCAUUGAAGUACCUUUAUGAAAGGAUAGCAUUGUACUACAUUAAGGGUCAUAAAUUAUCAUGAUACUGAUGAAUGGAUUUGUUAGAGAAAAUAAGUAAAGUGGUAUUUAGUAUGUGAGAAUCAGUUAGCACUCAAAAUUUUAUUUUUUUCACUAACUUCUGUGAAACUUUCUAUUGUUUUCUUCUGGGAUUUGACUUCUCCAUUUGGCGAGCUGUCAUUUUGACAGGGGUUAACACCAAAGAUCAUCUUUCCGGAGGGCCAUUUUACUGGCAAGCUUGAAGACAGCUGUGGUGGGAUUUGCUUCACAUUAAACCCAGUUUAGAGGAGAAUGCAGA